UCCUCUGGCAGAUAGCCAAUCAGCUGCAAAGGAACACCCUGUGGCAGGUACCCCGCCCUGAGGAGAGAUGAUGUGGAUAAAAAGCUGUUUUUUUAAUUUUCAGAGGCAGACAGACAAGAUGACAGGGGCAGACUCCACGGAAAGUCAAUCUGUUUGAGAUAAGACUCACUAAGUCUCUGAGCUGCCAAGAAAAGCCUGAAUUCCAGACCAUCAUAUUUCCAUAAUCUGCCUCAUUUCCAACCCGACCAGCCUCCACACAUUCAUCUCCAUUCCCAUCAUGCACCUGGCCUCUGGGACAUUACCAUAAUCCAUCCAGCCUGCACAGACUUCCUGUUUACCACGCUGCAAAAACACUGACGGGACUCGACAUGAAGGCAGAGAGAGAUGGCAGUCACUAUGAUGGAAACCUCCUGCUGAGCUCCCAACUCAUCACACACACACACACUCCUGAGCAGAAGAUGACAGCGCAGUCGUCUCUGGAUGUUGCUCAUUCAACAUGACAGAGGACAGAUGGCUGAGAGAGGGAAGGGAAGAUACAGAAAGAAGAAAAGGAGACGGGGGUAGAUUGAGUUAUAGGCUUGGUGUCAGAGUAGAUUUUGGUUACAGUGCUCAAAAAGCUUCAGGCUGAAAACAUCACCGUGAGAAACGACUCACUCAGCCUCCCCCCGCCUCCGCCCUCGCCGUGGCUGCUGAUCGCUCAUUCAUCACUGAGUUCCCGUCUGCCUUUGCUUAUUUUUCAAAUUCUUUGCACGCUGUCUGUACGCAGCUUCUUUGAAUUCAGAAAUGUGGAAGGAGCCAGGUGUGUGUGAGACAAUUCAGCUCCUACGUUGACCCAUUCACAGCCAUACUGUAGCACCAGGGGACACACCGGCAGCUCUGAGGAGACUUUGCAUGAAUUCCAAAAAGCGAAAACAGUGCAGCAGUAACAUCACAGAGAUAUUGGACUAAAUGCCAGCUGGUUCAUUUUAGUAAUUAUAAACAAAUCGUGGAGGUCAAAUCAUCCAACUUUUCACAAUCAUAAAACAAUUCUGGCGCCUGAACUUAAUUCAUUUCAGUGAAAUGCAGGUGAAUUCUGUAAUUCUCAGAAAGCUUUAUGGUCCUGGAGUGCUUGUAGGAACAACUGCACAGGAACUGCAGCUGAACAGUCUAGUGGUAAGACUACAAAUUUUUGAAGCAGGAGUCACAAGUUUGAUUCCCAACCGGUAUCCAGUAAGGGUCUUGACUACAUGUUGUACUCUGUAUGAUUGUGUAUGUGACAAAUAAAGUCU